GUGGGGAAUAUUGGACAAUGGGCGCAAGCCUGAUCCAGCCAUGCCGCGUGAGUGAUGAAGGCCUUAGGGUUGUAAAGCUCUUUUACCUGGGAAGAUCAUGACGGUACCAGGAGAAUAAGCCCCGGCUAACUUCGUGCCAGCAGCCGCGGUAAUACGAAGGGGGCUAGCGUUGUUCGGAUUUACUGGGCGUAAAGGGCGCGUAGGCGGGCUGAUAAGUCAGGGGUGAAAUCCCAAGGCUCAACCUUGGAACUGCCUUUGAUACUGUCGGCCUUGAGUCCGGGAGAGGUGAGUGGAACUGCGAGUGUAGAGGUGAAAUUCGUAGAUAUUCGCAAGAACACCAGUGGCGAAGGCGGCUCACUGGCCCGGAACUGACGCUGAGGCACGAAGGCCAGGGGAGCGAAAGGG
rnacentral:rRNA from 1 species